rnacentral:snRNA from 1 species
AUACUUACUUGGCAGGCCGGAUACCAUGAUCACAAAGGUGGUUUUCCCAGGGCGAGGUUUAUUCACUGCACCCUUGCAAUUUCCCCAAAUGUGGAAAACUUGACUGCAUAAUUUGUGGAUUUGGGGACUGCAUAUGCGUUCUCUU